rnacentral:rRNA from 1 species
UACGAAGGGGGCUAGCGUUGCUCGGAAUCACUGGGCGUAAAGGGUGCGUAGGCGGGUCUUUAAGUCAGGGGGGAAAUCCUGGAGCUCAACUCCAGAACUGCCUUUGAUACUGAAGAUCUUGAGUUCGGGAGAGGUGAGUGGAACUGCGAGUGUAGAGGCGAAAUUCGUAGAUAUUCGCAAGAACACCAGUGGCGAAGGCGGCUCACUGGCCCGAUACUGACGCUGAGGCACGAAAGCGUGGGGAGCAAACAGG